UUGGUCUGUAGACACCACCAUGUUUGUUGUGAAACGCCCAGAACUUGGAACUGAAGACAUUUCCUUCGUUGCUUACUCCAGGAAUGAAAAAACUGGUGAAUACCGCGAGAGUGGGAAUGACCUGUGGUAAUGAUAUCUACCAUCUUUUAGGACACAGACCGGCUCUUGAAUCUUCAGCUUGACACCUGGAAGAUGAGCCUCGUUGCCCUGCUCUGGCUUAGGAAGAGGCAGUCCUCCAGAGGAGCCGUGUCGGCCUGUACAACACAGCUCGGAGUUGCCUGCACCAGGAUUCAAGCAAAAGUCUAAGGUUAAUAUGGACGAGACUGCGUGCACGGACACUUGCUGAAGGCAGGCUGAGCGUGGCUCAGUUCACUGCAGAGGAGCAGGGCAGACUGGGUGGGGCCAGCUCUGGAAUUCUACCCACGGAGCAAAGUCAGGCGGCGGGGGAACAGCUUGAGCCGAAGCCGCUAGUAGGAAGUCCAGCCCAGCAGGUAGAACAUGGGAUCUGGAAGACGUGGCAGUCACCCAAAAACACAAUCUGGUGAAGUCAUCUGUGUUGGGGGGAGUGGAAGUCCCGAUCAGGAAUCCUGUCCAGAAAAGCGGGACUGCAGAAGUCUCAUGGUGCACGUAGGCGCCCCAGCCACAGGCAAAGCUUCAAGAGCAGCGCUUCCUCCACUUCCUGUGGGGCAAUGGCAAGAUCGGGUGGGACCUCAGGCUUCAGGGGCCCAAGAACAGAUUAUUGGGACAGGACCUCAGACGUAAGGAGAAUGACAGAUGGGGAUCCUCUUAGAGCUGAGGUAUGCGAUACUGCUCAGUCCCAGGCGUCGUUCAAUGCUCAGAGCCAAGACACAAAGUCAUGACUGGCCUGGAGACCGGUACAGCUUGAUGCUGAGUAAGUUUUAGAGUCUAGAGCUACCGCUGCCUUAGUUCUUCCUGCCUCUUCAGGACCAGUCCCAGAGACCACAACCAGGUAAGAAGCUCAAGUGGCCCCAGCCUUUGGGGGAGAAGGAACCUGACCUCCGCAAUAAAAGCAGCCCCACAUGACAAGAGCCUCGGUCCCAUAAGAGUCCUGCCACAGGGCAGCAGGAAUGGGCUACGGACAUUUCACAGUGGAACCCACCUGGAAGGACCACACGACUAAUGAACAAUGGCCCAGUGCCACUCAGAUACUAGUUGUACAGGUGGCCUUAUAUUUCUUGCAAACUAAUCGUCCCUGUCAGAAGGCACAAUUUCACCACGGAAAAAAUGAGCUCCAGUGAUGCCUCUGGCUCCCCACCUGGGAGUCUCUAUAAGAUGUUCCUCCAAGUACUAAUUGGAUAGAAAAGAACCAAAGGCAGUGGUCUGUGUUUCCUCCUCCUCCUGCAGUAAAUGAGCCUAUGAUUUUAGACAUAGAAAAGCAGCUUCGAUGCUACAUGAUAUUUCCUCCAUAACCCUCUGGUUGUGGGAACAGUCUUUUGCCCCUGAGUCGGAAGACCCCUCUGACUCAUCUUGCCACAAUCGUGAAGAUAAUGACCUCUGAGUUCACUCCUCAGCCUGCUACUACAGAGAAAGGCUUCCUGGGGCCCUCACCUGCAGGAGCCGGAUCUGUUGUCAUCGUCCAUGUGAAUCAUCCAGCCUUCUAUUCCAGCAGCUGCCAUAAAACACCCGUCCCUACUCCCUGGCAGACAGCCUCUUAACACCCACCUCCCUUCACCUAAGUCCCCAGCAGAGGGCUUGCUGCCUUCCCAGCUCUCCAGGUACUCUCCCCUGAUGGAGGAUGUUUCUUUCAUCAAAAUGACUUUCUUCCACCCUGGCUGGUGUGG